AAGUGUAUAGCUCAGUGGUAGAGUGUGUGCUUAGCAUGCACGAGGUCUUGGGCUCAAUCCCUAGUACCUCUA
rnacentral:tRNA from 1 species